UGUCCCUGACUUGGAUAGAAUUGCACCAGAUUUGGUGAUGCUUGUUUCAUGUCAGCCAGGGACCGAGUAACUCCUUGUUUAUCCUAGCUUGGCGUUUGGUCUGGUUCAUGCCCUGAACACUUAA
rnacentral:snoRNA from 1 species